GUGAAAUUCGAACGCAAGCUAUGUUCCAAGUUUAUGGUUCCAGCAGCUCUGCAGUGCCAUGAGGAGCCUUGUGAAAUUGCCUUUAAAGAAAAGGCAAACCAUUUACCAGUGCUGUGGACUAUGCACUUAAGAAGCUGCCACUGGAAGAGCCACUGAUCAAGCACGCACAAUUUGUAGAUGUACGGCAGAGGGCUGAAAGUGACAUCGAAGAUGUCCUGUACUUUGUUGAAAGGUUUCCCCAUCUCCUCCCAUACCAUGGGCCAGAGGAGCAUGAC